GACGAACGCUGGCGGCGCGCCUAACACAUGCAAGUCGAACGAGCGAGAGAGAGCUUGCUUUCUCGAGCGAGUGGCGAACGGGUGAGUAACGCGUGAGGAACCUGCCUCAAAGAGGGGGACAACAGUUGGAAACGACUGCUAAUACCGCAUAAGCCCACGGCUCGGCAUCGAGCAGAGGGAAAAGGAGCAAUCCGCUUUGAGAUGGCCUCGCGUCCGAUUAGCUAGUUGGUGAGGUAAUGGCCCACCAAGACGACGAUCGGUAGCCGGACUGAGAGGUUGAACGGCCACAUUGGGACUGAGACGCGGCCCAGACUCCUACGGGAGGCAGCAGUGGGGAAUAUUGCACAAUGGGGGAAACCCUGAUGCAGCGACGCCGCGUGGAGGAAGAAGGUCUUCGGAUUGUAAACUCCUGUUGUUGGGGAAGAUAAUGACGGUACCCAACAAGGAAG
rnacentral:rRNA from 1 species